CUACCCUUGACAUGUCCUGAAGCCUGGGGAAACUCGGGUGUGCCCGAAAGGGAACGGGAACACAGGUGCUGCAUGGCUGUCGUCAGCUCGUGUCGUGAGAUGUUGGGUUAAGUCCCGCAACGAGCGCAACCCUUGUCAUUAGUUGCUACAUUCAGUUGGGCACUCUAAUGAGACUGCCGGUGACAAACCGGAGGAAGGUGGGGAUGACGUCAAGUCCUCAUGGCCCUUAUGGGUAGGGCUUCACACGUAAUACAAUGGCGCGUACAGAGGGUUGCCAAGCCGCGAGGUGGAGCCAAUCCCACAAAGCGCGUCGUAGUCCGGAUUGCAGCCUGCAACUCGACUGCAUGAAGUCGGAAUCGCUAGUAAUCGCGGAUCAGCAUGUCGCGGUGAAUACGUUCCC
rnacentral:rRNA from 1 species